AUUGAACGCUGGCGGCAGGCUUAACACAUGCAAGUCGAACGAGUGGCGGACGGGUGAGUAAUGUCUGGGAAUCUGGCUUAUGGAGGGGGAUAACGACGGGAAACUGUCGCUAAUACCGCGUACCAUAGGUUGAGCCCAAGUGGGAUUAGGUAGUUGGUGGGGUAAUGGCCUACCAAGCCGACGAGCUCUAGCUGGUAUGAGAGGAUGACCAGCCACCCCGGGACGGAGACACGGCCCGGACUGCUACGUGAGGCAGCAGUGGGGAAUAUUGCACAAUGGGCGCAAGCCUGAUGCAGCCAUGCCGCGUGUGUGAAGAAGGCCUUCGGGUUGUAAAGCACUUUCAGCGGGGAGGCGUUACCCGCAGAAGAAGCACCGGCUAACUCCGUGCCAGCAGCCGCGGUAAUAC
rnacentral:rRNA from 1 species